AUACUGCCAGUGAUAACCGGAGAAGGCGGGGAUGACGUCAAGUCCUCAUGGCCCUUACAUCCCGGGCUACACACGUGCUACAAUGGCAGGUACAGAGGGCUGCGAAGCCGCGAGGUGGAGACGAAUCCCAGAAAACCUGUCUCAGUCCGGAUUGAAGUCUGCAACUCGACUUCAUGAAGGCGGAAUCGCUAGUAACCGCGAAUCAGCAGGUCGCGGUGAAUACGUUCCCGGGCCUU
rnacentral:rRNA from 1 species